GAUGAACGCUGGCGGCGUGCCUAAUACAUGCAAGUCGAGCGAACAGACGAGGAGCUUGCUCCUCUGACGUUAGCGGCGGACGGGUGAGUAACACGUGGAUAACCUACCUAUAAGACUGGGAUAACUUCGGGAAACCGGAGCUAAUACCGGAUAAUAUAUUGAACCGCAUGGUUCAAUAGUGAAAUACGGUUUUGCUGUCACUUAUAGAUGGAUCCGCGCCGCAUUAGCUAGUUGGUAAGGUAACGGCUUACCAAGGCAACGAUGCGUAGCCGACCUGAGAGGGUGAUCGGCCACACUGGAACUGAGCCACGGACCAGACUCCUACGGGAGGCAGCAGUAGGGAAUCUUCCGCAAUGGGCGAAAGCUUGACGGAGCAACGCCGCGUGAGUGAUGAAGGUCUUCGGAUCGUAAAACUCUGUUAUUAGGGAAGAACAAAUGUGUAAGUAAAUAUGCACGUCUUGACGGUACCUAAUCAGAAAGCCACGGCUAACUACGUG
rnacentral:rRNA from 1 species